rnacentral:rRNA from 1 species
UACGGAGGGGGCGAGCGUUGUUCGGAAUUACUGGGCGUAAAGGGCGUGUAGGCAGACUGUUAAGUUAGGGGUGAAAUCCCAGGGCUCAACCCUGGAACUGCCUCUAAUACUGGCGGUCUUGAGAUUUGGAGAGGUGUGUGGAAUUCCUAGUGUAGAGGUGAAAUUCGUAGAUAUUAGGAAGAACACCAGUGGCGAAGGCGGCACACUGGCCAACAUCUGACGCUGAGGCGCGAAAGCGUGGGGAGCAAACAGG